CCUACGGGUGGCAGCAGUGGGGAAUAUUGCACAAUGGGGGAAACCCUGAUGCAGCGACGCCGCGUGAGUGAAGAAGGAUUUCGGUAUGUAAAGCUCUAUCAGCAGGGAAGAAAAUGACGGUACCUGAUUAAGAAGCCCCGGCUAACUACGUGCCAGCAGCCGCGGUCAUACGUAGGGGGCAAGCGUGAUCCGGAAUUACUGGGUGUAAAGGGAGCGUAGACGGUUAAGUAAGUCUGGAGUGAAAGGCCGGGGCUCAACCCCGGGACUGCUCUGGAGACUAUUGAACUAGAGUGCAGGAGAGGUAAGUGGAAUUCCUAGUGUAGCGGUGAAAUGCGUAGAUAUUAGGAGGAACACCAGUGGCGAAGGCGGCUUACUGGACUGUAACUGACGUUGAGGUGCGAAAGCGUGGGGAGCAAACAGGAUUAGAUACCCGAGUAGUC
rnacentral:rRNA from 1 species